rfam:Otolemur garnettii contig024653, whole genome shotgun sequence.
AAGUGUUACAGCUCUUUUAGAAAUGAUCUAGCAAGUUUUCCAGUCUCCACUGCAAGACACUCCC